CCUGCUAACCUAGAGGGGGGGGGGGGGGCAUACACAGGAGGUCCUGUUAACCUAGAGGGGGGAUAUACACAGGAGGUGCUGUUAACCUAGAGGGGGGAUAUACACAGGAGGUCCUGUUAACCUAGAGGGGGGAUAUACACAGGAGGUGCUGUUAACCUAGAGGGGGGAUAUACACAGGAGGUCCUGUUAACCUAGAGGGGGGGGAUAUACACAGGAGGUCCUGUUAACCUAGAGGGGGGAUAUACACAGGAGGUGCUGUUAACCAAGAGGGGGGAAUAUACAGGAAGAAAAAAGGGAGGUACCAUCUGAACUUAUCCAAAAAGGAAUGCUCAUUUCAGGUUUCUGUUGCAAAACAUUUUCAUAUGUUGGGCCCAAAUGAACACAACCCAAGUUGCUGAGUCUACUG